UUCCGGUUGAUCCUGCCGGACCUGACUGCUAUCGGAUUGAUACUAAGCCAUGCGAGUCAUUGUAGCAAUACAAGGCAUACGGCUCAGUAACGCGUAGUCAACCUAACCUAUGGACGGGAAUAACCUCGGGAAACUGAGAAUAAUGCCCGAUAGAACAUUAUGCCUGGAAUGGUUUAUGUUCCAAAUGAUUUAUCGCCGUAGGAUGGGACUGCGGCCUAUCAGUUUGUUGGUGAGGUAAUGGCCCACCAAGACUAUUACAGGUACGGGCUCUGAGAGGAGCAGCCCGGAGAUGGGUACUGAGACACGGGCCCAGGCCCUAUGGGGCGCAGCAGGCGAGAAAACUUUGCAAUGUGCGAAAGCACGACAAGGUUAAUCCGAGUGGUUUCUGCUAAAGAAACCUUUUGUCAGUCCUAGAAACACUGAUGAAUAAGGGGUGGGCAAGUUCUGGUGUCAGCCGCCGCGGUAAAACCAGCACCUCAAGUGGUCAGGAUGAUUAUUGGGCCUAAAGCAUCCGUAGCCGGCUCUGUAAGUUUUCGGUUAAAUCUGUACGCUCAACGUACAGGCUGCCGGGAAUACUGCAGAGCUAGGGAGUGGGAGAGGUAGACGGUACUCGGUAGGAAGGGGUAAAAUCCUUUGAUCUAUUGAUGACCACCUGUGGCGAAGGCGGUCUACCAGAACACGUCCGACGGUGAGGGAUGAAAGCUGGGGGAGCAAACCGGAUUAGAUACCCGGGUAGUCCCAGCUGUAAACUAUGCAAACUCAGUGAUGCAUUU
rnacentral:rRNA from 2 species